rnacentral:lncRNA from 13 species
AUGAAAGCACACAACCCGCAGCCUUUGGCCGUGGUGUUUUUGAAAACAGGGAAGGGCACAGAAUCGUGGUUUAAAAUACCAGAAAGCUGCAGCCCCAAAAAAAAAAGAGUAUUCCGGGGCGGGCUGGACCUUCCCUGCAGGCAAUCUUCUGUGCAGGCGGACGGACGUUCCUGGGGGAAGGGCGCCACUGUGAGAUGCAAAGACAUCAAGCGGACUUUCAGCUUUCCAGUGGACGCUGCGGGCCCCCUUUCCCUACCCAGUUCUGUACCGCGGCUCCCCAGCCCACCCCGGGCCACCCAAGAGGUCCGGUGGGGUUUGUGCCGGAUUAGUGCCCGCUGGUCGGACUCAGCCCUCCGCACAGCCAGGCCGACCAGGCCCCCAGAAAUUCUGUCGUCGGGUGUGGGACCGCGAAGGAAAGGGCGAGUUUUCUUCCCAGAACUCAGUGGAAAACCAAGGAAAGGAGGCGGCGGCUGUGUAAACCAGGCCUGGGGUGCAGCCUCCGGGAACAAAAGAGGUGGCGAUUGCACAGCAGCCGAGGCUCUGCGUGCUCCUUUGGGGCCACUACGAAUGCACGUGAAUCACCCCUGUCCGUGCAAAGCGCCAGAAAUGAUGAAAACGCACGUUCAUGGGUUCCACUCCAGCCCUACAAGAUCACCAACAGUAUCUGGCAGCACCCAGGAAUCUGCCCUCUCAACAAGCGCCCGGGCCGACGGGCUAGUUAAGUUUGAGAACAAUUGCUUCAUACACAGUCGCUCCGCUAUCACCAAGGAAUCACCGCUGCGGCUGCGGCUGCGGCUGCGGCUGCGGCUGCGGCUGCGGCUGCGGCUGUGGCUUAGGCCAGGCCGCGCCUCAACCGAGCUUGGUCCUUUCCUGUGGUCCCGCCUCGCUGCUCAGCGCGGAUUGGUGAUGGGGCACAAAUCUGGCGCUGAUUGGGCGGUGGUGAAGUCGCUCGUAAAGACUGUAGGGUUCGGGUGCUCUAGAGUGCUAAAUUUAUCUUCAGACCAGCGACCGCGCCAGCCGCGAAUCGGAUCUCUAUGGAGGUGGCCCAGGCGAUAUCCCUGA